CCUACGGGUGGCAGCAGUAGGGAAUAUUGGUCAAUGGGCGAAACCCUGAAGCAGCAACGCCGCGUGGAGGACGAAGGUUUUCGGAUUGUAAACUCCUUUUGGUAGAGAAGAUAAUGACGGUAUCUAACGAAUAAGCACCGGCUAACUCCGUGCCAGCUGCCGCCGUAAUACGGAGGGUGCAAGCGUUACUCGGAAUCACUGGGCGUAAAGGGCGCGUAGGCGGGAUAGCAAGUCAGAUGUGAAAUCCUAUGGCUUAACCAUAGAACAGCAGUUGAAACUGUUAUUCUAGAGUAUGGGAGAGGUAGGUGGAAUGCUUGGUGUAGGGGUAAAAUCCGUAGAGAUCAAGAAGAAUACUCAUUGCGAAGGCGGCCUGCUAGAAGAGAACUGACGCUGAUGCGCGAAAGCGUGGGGAGCAAACAGGAUUAGAUACCCGAGUAGUC
rnacentral:rRNA from 1 species